rnacentral:rRNA from 1 species
UACGGAGGAUGCGAGCGUUAUCCGGAUUUAUUGGGUUUAAAGGGUGCGCAGGCGGAAGAUCAAGUCAGCGGUAAAAUUGAGAGGCUCAACCUCUUCGAGCCGUUGAAACUGGUUUUCUUGAGUGAGCGAGAAGUAUGCGGAAUGCGUGGUGUAGCGGUGAAAUGCAUAGAUAUAUGGAAGAACACCAGUGGCGAAGGCGGCCGCCUGGCCUGUUAACUGACGCUGAGGCACGAAAGCGUGGGGAGCAAAUAGG